rnacentral:lncRNA from 1 species
AAUUAACACACAUAAACAAUCUCUCAAGCACAAGCCCACGUGCUAGUGAGUAACCAGCUAAUCUUUAAAAUUGAAGUUCAGCCAACUUGGAUCUACAGUAUUUGCCAGCUAACAAGGUAGAACAGUUGAAUUGUUAUGAACACACCCUUCUGUCUCCAACUGUUUGAAACAGCAUGCUAGCCUGUCAACUUUUCAGGUGUUGAAAUCAAGUGGCCUACUUACAGUGUUGUGUUCAACACCACCUAAAGCAAGACCGAUUCAAGACCAAGACUGGAGGAGGGAGACCGAGUCAAGACUAAGACAGGGAGGGGGGCGAGGGUUCUGAGACCGAGUCAAGAACGAGACCAGAAAAAUAGAACAUGGCAGGACGUCCAACUGGCCUCACAACCGCAGACCACAUGUAACCACGCCAGCCCAGGACCUCCACAUCCGGCUUCUUCACCUGUGGGAUCGUCUGAGACCAACCACCCGGAUAGCUGAUAAAACUGAGGAGUAUUUCUUUGUAUUAAAGCCCUUUUGUGGGGAAGAACUGAUUCUGAUUGGCUGGGCCUGGUUCCCCAGUGGAUGGGCCUGGCUCCCAAGUUGGUGGGCCUAUGCCCUCCCAGGCCCACCCAUGGCUGCGCCCCUGCCCAGUCAUGUGAAAUCCAUAGGCUAGGGCCUAAUGAAUUUAUUUUAAU